rnacentral:miRNA from 1 species
UAUGAGCAGGCUGAGUUAAGAAUAU